ensembl:lncRNA uncharacterized LOC113142419
CUCCAUUCUCUACCCUUAAAUCACUUAAGCACAAAGGCAGAAGGCAUUGCAAAGUGCAAUGGUUCUUAGCGUCAUGGGUGAAAUGUUUUUACAACAAAAAUGAGUGAAAGAUUAGAGCUUAGUGGACAUGUCUGCUGUCAACACAACAGGAGCUCCAGAGCCUCAGUGGGUAAACAGACCUUCCAGAAAUCAGGAUUUCCAGCGUCCCCUGAGACUUGUGGCUCGGCACAGACAUCCCAUCAGAUCGAGCACCUGCCUGCCUGACGGCUCCCGCUCUGCACAGCACACACACAGGAGACCCAUUUAUGUGUCUUUUGUCAGCAAGUCCAUCCUGUGGGAUAGAGGACUCUACCAUCAAACUACUCAUGUACAUCCAACUCAUCGUCCCUCCUUGUGUCCACGGUUCUUGUCUCACAUGAAAGCUCGUCCUGAAGACUUCAGACCUCCUUGUUUCCCGAGCUCCAAGUCGGGACCGUGGCCUCCAUCUCAGCAGAAAAUACAGAAUACACACAUCCUUGCUGCCCCAAAGACCCACACUCUGGAGGGAUUCGUCCAGUUCAACCCAGACAGAAGACAAUGUGGUGUGCAGAAAGGCCUGAUCGCAGGAAGGCGCUGUGCUGCUUUUGUUCCCUGUCAUCCACUUCCAGCAACACCGCCAUCAUCCACCGUGAAUUCACCGCCAUCAUCCACCGUGAAUUCACCGCCUCCCCACCAAAACACCCUUCAUCCCGACUCUGGAGGACAACAAAGUCGACCGUGCACUGUGGGAGCAUCUUCCUACAGCCCUCAUCCAGCCUCAGAGGAAACACAUGAGUUCCAGAAGGAGGAGAGAGCGCCCCCACUUGAUGUGUUGUCCAUCACACAAUCUACAGAGCCGGGCUCCAAACUGGAUCUUAGGCCUUCUGGAACAGGGGACUCAGAGUCACUGUCCUCUACGGUGUCAUACAGGUCUCUCUCGGAUUUAAGUCGUCCAUGUUCGAGCCUCUUCAGCCGGAGCACUGACCUCGCCAGUGGCAGGAGCAGUUCCCUGCCGGAUAUAGACUCAGAUGCAGAGAGCAGCGCUUGUUUCUCCCCCUUAUCUCCUUCCCCAGUGAUGGAGUUAGCUCAGGCUUCUCCUGCAUCAGGAUCAAAUCCUCAUCAAUCCACCACAAAAACCACCAACCCUCUGUUCCUCAAGCCACUCUGUGGUCAAACCAAACCCCUCUCUCCUCGCCCACCUUCAAGUAUCCCUCCACAUUCAGAUAAACCUAUGAGCAGUAAUGAAAGCACCAAAGCAGCAGAGAAUGACCACCAAGAUUCAUCCAUCGAUCCUGGUCUCAACCCGCCCCCGGACUCUGAUCAUGGCCUUGUUACACUGACUUUCCCCUCCACUACCUGGUCUUCUUGUCCAAGUUCUCAGAGGACCACGCCCCGAUCGAGGUCAGGAGUGAAGCUAACCCGUUCUCUAGUGAGUCGGCUGGAGUCUCAUCGCUGGCCUGUCCUGCCUCCCAUCUCCCCUGUCAGAGGACACUCUGGCACUGCAGCAUCGCACUCCUCUGAGCUCAGCUGCAGUCAGUCUCAUGUAUUUGAUGAACUGGAGGCCAUCGCCCCUCGAUCGGCUUCCGGUUUGUCUCUGAACCAGGCAUCAGACUCAUCAGCCUGCUCUUUACCUGACACAGAGCUUUCUCCCGGCCUGGCAGCACUGACAGUGGGCUGUGACUCAGGGAAUCUGGGCUCCCUGUCCCGGGUCCAGCUGCUCCUCCUGGACCGACCAGAGCCAGAGACCCUGCUGAGUGCAUAUGGUCUUGAGGAAGAGUUCACUUUGGUGCAGGACUGGAGCGAUCUGAGGGUGCAGUACGAUCCAGGACUGACUUCAUCAGGUGUUCUGAGGCCUCUCACAGCUGGCAGCAUCUCUGAAAGGUGUGACUCCGCAGGGAAAGUCCAGGAAAACAAUUCGGAUCGAUCUGAAGGAGGCUCUUGGUCACCGUCGUCAUGGAUCAUAGACCCAAGUCCAUCAUGCAACAUGUUCAGAGCCUCAUGUUCUCCCUGCCCAUCCAGUCACAGUUCCAGGACAGACGAAGGGGGCUCCUCUGAGGACGAGUCCAGUCAUCCAGGAUGGGGGGACCAGGAUGAGUCCUUAGCUGGAGGAAGGAAACCUGAGAUUCUUGAACAUAGAAAUGAAGAGAAGGACACAAGGAUGGAGGAGAGGAAAACAAAGGUGCUUCACAUGCUCUCCAAGUUGCAGGAAGAUACACCUCGGAAGAGCAACAGCUACAAACGCUGCUCCAACUUUGAGGAUUAUCAGCCGCUAACACGCCUCCAGAUGGCCAGUGAACCUCAACCUCAGCUCAUUGUGAAAUAAAUUCAUCCUGCCACACAAGCUGCCGUUUCACUUUAGCAGACUGACCAGUGCAC